rnacentral:rRNA from 1 species
CACAAGCUUUCCGUAGGUGACUGCGGAAGGAUCAUUAAGAAUUAUAAAUAUUUGUGAAAUUUACACAGCAAACAAUAAUUUUAUAGUCAAAACAAAAAUAAUCAAAACUUUUAACAAUGGAUCUCUUGGUUCUCGUAUCGAUGAAGAACGCAGCGAAACGCGGUAUUUCUUGUGAAUUGCAGAAGUGAAUCAUCAGCUUUUGAACGCACAUUGCACUUUGGGGUAUCCCCCAAAGUAUACUUGUUUGAGCGUUGUUUCUCUCUUGGAAUUGCAUUGCUUUUCUAAAAUUUCGAAUCAAAUUCGUUUGAAAAACAACACUAUUCAACCUCAGAUCAAGUAGGAUUACCCGCUGAACUUAAGCAUAUCAAUAAGCGGAGGAGGAUCCGUGUAAUCGUCGACCGCAGAAACG